rnacentral:rRNA from 1 species
AUUGAACGCUGGCGGCAGGCCUAACACAUGCGAGUCGAGCGGAUGAAGGGAGCUUGCUCCUGGAGUCAGCGGCGGACGGGUGAGUAAUGCCUAGGAAUCUGCCUGGUAGUGGGGGAUAACGUCCGGAAACGGGCGCUAAUACCGCAUACGUCCUGAGGGAGAAAGUGGGGGAUCUUCGGACCUCACGCUAUCAGAUGAGCCUAGGUCGGAUUAGCUAGUUGGUGGGGUAAAGGCCUACCAAGGCGACGAUCCGUAACUGGUCUGAGAGGAUGAGCAGCCACACUGGAACUGAGACACGGUCCAGACUCCUACGGGAGGCAGCAGUGGGGAAUAUUGGACAAUGGGCGAAAGCCUGAUCCAGCAAUGCCGCGUGUGUGAAGAAGGUCUUCGGAUUGUAAAGCACUUUAAGUUGGGAGGAAGAGCAGUAAGUUAAUACCUUGCUGUGUUGACGUUACCAACAGAAUAAGCACCGGCUAACUUCGUG